rnacentral:rRNA from 1 species
AUUGAACGCUGGCGGCAGGCCUAACACAUGCAAGUCGAGCGAGCGGCGGACGGGUGAAUAAUGUAAGGGAAACUGCCUGAAGGAGGGGGAUACCUACUGGAAACGGUUGCUAAUACCGCAUACCAUCCGAUGUACCCAGAUGGGAUUAGCUAGUAGGUGGGGUAAUGGCUCACCUAGGCGACGAUCCCUAGCUGGUCUGAGAGGGUGAACAGCCACACUGGAACUGAGCAACGGUCCAGACUCCUACGGGAGGUAGCAGUGGGGAAUAUUGCACAAUGGGCGCAAGCCUGAUGCAGCCAUGCCGCGUGUAUGAAGAAGGCCUUCGGGUUGUAAAGUACUUUCAGCGGGGAGGCGUUACCCGCAGAAGAAGCACCGGCUAACUCCGUGCCAGCAGCCGCGGUAAUUC